ensembl:snRNA
AAAAAGGGCUUCUGUCGUGAUUGACACAGGGAGGGUGAGGGAGUCUCAUUCUCUUUGCGGAAUCGCCAUCAAGAGAUUUCGGAAGCAUAAUUUUUCAAAUCUGAGGCUGCUGGUAACCAUUUGUUCCGGCGCCUCC